AGAGGCCUUUAGGCAGCCUGUCUGCUGCUGGCUGGGGCUGGGUCCCCACCCACUUGGUUGUUUGGCCUGAGCUGUCUCAGUGCUGCACCUGCAGGCUAUUGGACUAAUGAGCUGGAGGGAGACUUUCUAGAUGGCUCCCACCAGCCCCAGGAUUGUCUGAGCAAGAGUCCACGCAGUUGAAGUAGCUCCCAGGGAUGGCUGCCGCCAGUGUCUGUGUCCCCAGGGCGAGCCAUAGCUCCCUCUCCAGGAGACUCUGCAAGACCAGCAGGUCUCAAGGAGUAAGAGAAGCCCAGCUGAGGCCUCUCUGUCUGGGGUAUUUCCGGUGUGCUGGCAUCGUGGAGAAUGCGAACCACGUUUAGUGUCAUCCCGAUACAACCAGUACUCAGCUCUCUUCCCAGAGGUCAGCUGAAGGGGACGUGACUGGGAGCCAGGUCGCCUCUAAGAAGCUUCCUUCGCAUUAGGGAGAAUGUCUCCCCAAGCAACCCAGAGAAGACUGCGGUUCCCACGCGCUGGGGGAGAGCCUCCGGAAGAUGUGGCUGUUGGUUGACCUGAGGGCUAGACCUUGGCUCCUACACGCGCCUCAUCCCUCCCCUGUCCUUGGAAUGUGGGUUCUGCCCCCUGUUUCCACUCUGCUAACAUAGGAUCAACUUAUAUGAGGGGCUGGUGCCAAAGACCAGCCCUGAGAAGCACCACGCUGUUGAGACCCUCUGGACGAUGUGCGGGACUAAACCCGAGAGUCUCCUUGGCAGCUUUCACGAUGGUGGCGCCUGUGGAGCCUCGUCUGUAAGUUCACGUGCUCGUGAAAGCUGUCACCUGCCCAUCUGGAGUGGUCCGCCUCUUUCUUUGGCCUCCCCGAGCCGUUAGGUACGAGUGCUAGUUGGUGAACCAACCCUGGCCGGUUUUGCAUCACCCAAGUCCAUUCGCUCUCAGGGAGAGAAGGCACGGCCAGGGGGUAUGGGAGACAACGGGGUGAAGGAACCCAUCACCAAGGUCUAGGGCGGGCUGAGGGGGCCCGCGAAGCAUGUAGAGAUGUUCAGAGCCCAGUAAAAGCACUGACGACAAGUGAAGCUAGUCACACCCUAGACAGGAGAUGGUGAAAAGGAGUGAGUGACCAGGGAUCAGCGAAGGCUGGAGCCGCAGCGCUGGGACAGAAGGUCGCCUGGCAGGAGUGCCACCUGUAUGGGACCAGGCACCGCCAGAACCAUCACACCAGGAUGGCCAGAACUAUCGUACCUCACCUCUCUCUCCCUCCUCUGCCUCCUCUGCUGCUGGUGCCUGAGACUGGCUGGACCCACCAGAGAGCAGAGGCCUAGGAGCCUGAAUGAUUGACAGAGAGAGAGAGAGAGAGAGUGUGUGUGUGUCCACAGCCCCCUGGGACACAGAGCAGAGCAGAGAAGGGUAAGAAGAGACUGCAGUGAGGUCGUAAAGUGAGCACCCACUGCGUACAUGGGUUCUUGUUCCAAUUAGCUGGGGCCGGAGUGCAGGAUAUAUUUUAUGUAAGACACUGUGUUAAAAAUCAUGGGACCUGAGGCAGAAGAAUCAGCCCAGGACUGUUCUCUGGUGGGGGGAUUGUGGAUAUGAGACAUUAGCCAAUAGAGAUAUAAUCAGAGUUAAUUUUUAUUUUAGGAGAACUCUGUGGUUCUAUAUUAGGAACAUUUACCUCUCAUUUCUCAGCAAAUAUGUUCAAAACUUUCAUUUUAUUUUUAAUUGGCUGUUUUUUUUUCCAGCAUGUAGAACAUUAUAAAUUACAUUGUUAAACUGUCAUGUUUACCUUCAUGAUUCUGACUUUAAUAUUAUAUUAGAGAAAUGUUAUCCUACUCUUAAGGAUUAUAAAUUUCACAUAGUAAUCUGGUAUUUUGUGGCUUUCCUAAAAAAAUUGUAUUGCAUUAUUUAUUGUAAUAGCUAUACAUACCCAUAACUUUAUUUGUGCCUACAUCUAUCAGUUUAUAAAUAUUUAUAUCAGAUAUAAAUUCACACACGUAUAUACAUGUAUUUCUUUUCCACUUACCUGCUUAUUAUCUCCCUGGGCCAGUAUACCACAUUAUUUUCAUUAUUACACUGUUAAUCGUUAUAUUUUAAAUCUAAUAAAAGAAACUUUCCUCAC
rnacentral:lncRNA from 1 species